rnacentral:tRNA from 1 species
GGGCCUCUAGCUCAAUCGGUAGAGCUGCGGACUUUUAAUCCGUAGGUUGUGGGUUCGAGUCCCACGGGGCCCA